AAUGUAUCGGUGUAAUUGCAAAAAUGUAUUGUAAAAUAAGUGAGUUUUAUUAAUAUAUUUAUAAAAACGCUAAAAAUAGGACGAAUAUAUGUUACAACUUAAUGCAAUAAAGUGAAGAACAUCAACAGCUAUGAAUGACUGAUGCGAGCGACACAGCGAUCGAAUCGUAAGGCUGUAUCAUCGCAUCGACUGAAGAUGCGUGUAGAGUUGUACGAUCGUACGGAAUGCGCAUGGAAAUUUGAGCGAGUACGCGACUGAACUACCCCCGUAUCAAGAUUAAUGCUGAAAUUACUGCGUAGACGUGCGUUCAGCUUGUUUUAGUAAUCGGAGUGUGCAAUGGCAAAGGCGAUUACUAGCAAACGGUGGUGGCCUAGAUACGUCCUCGGGGGCGAUGGCCUUUGUACCUCGAUUAUCGAACAACCGAAGCUAGCACAGGGUGCAGGUGUACCGCUAAAAAACCGGUCGGUCGUACGAGAAAAUCUAAACAGUAGUCCGUUUUCGGUCUUUCUCUUUCUUCAUUUUCCUUGAUUUCCAAAAUUCUUUAGAAAUUCUUCAUUAAUGCGUUAACAAUAAAUAUCAGCUGGUACGUCCACCACUUUACAAGAAAUGGGAAUAAAUAAAAAAAGAAACGUUGUCGACCUUUGUGCAAUCUAGCGCAACUCUGACUUUUAACAUGAUUAACGUGCCGAUAUACAUACGAUAUAUCCGAAUUCACGGAGCAGCCAGGUCGGGCGGCAAAGUUUUCGAUUCGCAAUGCCGAAUCACGCCGCGCGCAAUACGUGCAUAAUAAACGGAUAUAGCCUUUAUCGCUUUAGAAAGGCGUAAAGUGGAACAGUGGCCUGAUUCCCCUCGAUGUCAUGGUUGCAGCUCUCCACGUGCAUCGAACGGAGUAGGCCAGUUAUAGAUGUAUUUGAAUGUGCAACUAGUAUUACUCCGUCAGCCUGGAUUUCGGCCAAAAAGGAUACCGCCGUGCCGACGAAAGGACUUCUACACUGUCCACUAAUAACUCUGCCGAUUUCGCACCAGUUCGCUCUCGAAUCUCUUUCCGCCUCCUUUCCUUUCUUCUCGUCGCGAGUGUUCACCCUUUGCGACUACUCCGCGGAAUCGUAAUGUGUUUCCUCGGCGUACGAUCGGGUUCGUGGUAGGGCAACGCUACAUUCAGAGGGAUUCAUUCUAGAAGGUACCAAGUUGCGCGGACCAUUCUAUUAAGUUGUUGCAUAAUUUCUGUCGUAUUUCUGUAUAAAAUCAAACUUGACAUAAUUUUGAGAAAGAAUUGAUUUAUAAUCAACAACAUAUUAGUCAUUAUUGUAUUUACGACUUGUAGAUAACAACAGACAAUAUCUCUGGCCGUUAUUAUAUCAAUUUUAAUUUUAUCCAAAAAUACGACAGAAAUUAUGCAACAACUUAAGACAUCGGACAAGACCAGUGAAACUGUCGGAUUCUAAAUUUGGCAAAAAAAAGAAGAAACAAAUGUAAUGCAUAUGUAAUCGUAUGCUACCGCAAGAUGAUUCUCGCAUGAUCAAACGAACGUGAUCUUACAAUGAUAAUUAUUAUCUCGUAGAUUCGCGGCAAGAACCGUCAACCGCAUUGCCGCGAGUCGAGCUUUCUAUAAAUGGGAAACAGCAUGAAAUUUAUGGCAACGACCUGUACUUUUCGUGCGUUGACUCGCUACCCCGGGUCGUUAGCUCGGUUACCGUUGAUACUCCGUGUCUUUGGCAGUGCUCCAGAAAAAUAGCUAUAACAGUUUCCGAUAGUCGAGGUUGCUGCAUGCCAUAUGGCCAUAUGGCGUCCGUUCCUAUCACGAUUUUAUUAGCCCCGACCGCACUGACACGAGAGAAUCAAAUAACAGUUACAAGAGAGGCUUAUUGUCAAUAUUUGUCAAUUGCGACAGAUGUGACGGAUCAAUUCGCUCCAAUCUUGUGGAGUAUACCUCGUCGAGAUGGAACGACGCGAGCUUUUGGUGUUCGGUCUUCACGAGCGUGUUGUAAAAUUUAAGAAAUAUCGGAUUUCCGGCUGCGACAGCGGACUCGUGGUUAAAGAUUUAAUACACCCCAACGUAACGCGAAUGAUGGGCCAGGGGACACGUUGCACUAAAAUCUCGGGGAAAAUCGAUAAAUGGGUCACCAUUGCACAUUUAACAUCCGAGAGAAAUUUCACGCUUUGCCGAUAAGCAUUCAACCACCGAACCAGGUGUUCUAUAUCGGGAAUCUAUAUCUGGGUAAAUUCAAGGAGAAGGAAAACAUCUCCCUUCUUUAUAAAUCUAUUCGGCCGUCUAAGCAGUCUACGUUGUCAUGCUGACUUUGUUGUGGAUGAAUUUAAAUACUGUACAUGAUUAAACCAUCAGGAGCGAGUGAAAUUUUGUAUUACUAAUUUUGUAUUACUCGUGCGAUGUUUGGUUGCCUGACAUUUGUUCAUUCCGAAUAAGUGACAAAAAACACGGCUCGAAUGCAAAUACAGAUCUUCGAGGUGUAAAUAUAUUUUCUUACACCCAUUCGAGCUCGAAUUAAUAAGGCAUUGAGGGAGAAGCAGUUUGUGCGACGUAUUAUUCUCAUCUACGACGUGUAUAUCUUCUGCUAUGUCUAUAACGGAGAUUGGUUCAGUGCCUGUAUCUAUUCACGUUCAGUCACUUACCUGGUUAGCCGAGUCCUGCACCGAAACGCGUGAGAAUAUGGAGCCUCCUGGCCUUGCUCGGCUGUCCGUGCUUCACCCCGAUCGUGCGCAAUAAUAAUCGAGAGAGCAGGCGGUAAAGAAUGAUCGGAUGAACCGAUUCGGAGUCGAAGGAACGAAAAGAAGAGAAAGAGAGACAGAGACAGAGACAGAGAGAGAAAGAGAGAGAAAAGGGAGACGAGGGAGGGAAAAAUGGGAGAACCGUGAAGCGUUGGUAAAGCUCGCGCUUAGCGUCACUGUCGUUUCGACGGUGUGGUGGUCCCGCGACUACUGAACCUUUUGAGAUUCGCGUAUCCUGGUCGAUAAACUACCCCACGGCCGCCCACCAGGGCUGUGCUAAAAGUAUCGUCAUCGCCGACGACCACCUGGUGCGUCGCACGCGCAUUGCGCGCGCGCAUGCAUGCAUGCAUCUGUCCCAUCGUCUCCCGAAAUGACGUCUCUGACGUUUUGCAAAACAAACGGAUUGUCCGCCUCUGUAGAAAAGCUCUCACUAAUGACGCUGACGUAAUUUCGUAGGUCGCGUUUCCAUUGCGGGAAAAGCAAAUGUUAUGCGACUCGGCCGAGUCCCCUCCCUUACGUCCUUCGUCGAGCUUGUAAUGGAAUGAUAGAAUAGAAACCUUCCUUGCUAAAUCUAAAAUAAAAAAAGAAAGAGAUAAGAUAAAUUGAAAAAGUGCGGCGAUGCUAAACGCCGAUAUUGUGCGUGUCUAAUUUUUCGUUGGUCGUUUGUCAGGGUAGGAAUAAUAAUAUUCGCUUCCGUGAAUUCAGACGCAUGGAACCACUUGCCGAAACUUAGUGAAAACAUUUUAUUAAACUCUGAAAGUUAAAAUAGCGAUAGAGUUGACUUUGCUUACAGUUUUUUGCUUAAUGUAGAAUCACAUACAGGGUUAUAUCGCCCAUGGUCUCCGCGCACGUGACGCGUCAGCGAUUCCAUUCGUUCGCCGACACUCGCGAUUCGCGUAAUUAACGUUAUCUCGAUUAUUCAGACAUGUAAUCGCAACAAUCGCUGCCGAGCACGUGCAGGGAGCUAGCUCGCGUCUCACAAGACAGAUUCGGGCAAGAGAGUAUCAUGUAAUGAAACUUUCAUAAUAAUUAUCGUUUGCCCGUUUUCGCGCGAACGAAACGUUUAUAGUUUGCUGAUACAGCGCUGUCCGCGCGUGUAAUAUAGUAUAAUUAUAAUAUAGUAUCAGGAAGAUAGAGUGUAUACAUAUAAUAUUGUAUAAUAAGUCUAUACAAAAAUCUGAAAGAUCGUUUUCUGAAAAAAGCACUUUUGCACCACCGUCGCAAUUUCGCCUGCCGCCAGCCACCCUCACCUCCCUCACUCGUCAUUCAUAAUUGGUCGUCGAGGUAACGCGCGAUUCGUACCAAGCGUAAAUAUGGAACGUUAUGAUAAAAUUAUCAAACGAGAAGCCGCGUCAAUCUUGCGUCAAUUUGCACUCGCGUGCGACGAGCCGAAAAUAGAAAGAGAAAGAGACGCGCGAAUACGCAUAUAAAAGAUAAUACAUGGUGCACGUAUACGUAUAAAAAAAAGAUACGAAAUCUGUAGAAAAUCACAACGAGAUUAUCGCGCGUGUCGCAGAAACGCAGUUUCGCGAACCGUUCUUCAGCUUCGUGGUAGGAAACUUACGGAAAACCAAGAAGAGGAAAUUCGAGUUCCCGGACCGCGGACAUUUCGGCGAACUGUUUUUCAGUUUAGCGAGGGACUUCCGCUCGCCAUACGUAUGCGCGUUCAUGAAUCACAGAACGAAAAAACGCAAAAGAGUUCCCUUUGGUGCGCCGGAUCCGCAUCACCUCGGAGUAAUUUGCCCGUUCCCAAUGUGGACACACAUACACACUAUACACCACACCACACCACACACACUCACACUCGCAUACGCGCAAGCUCUAAUUACAAUUAAAACCUUGUUAUUCGAUCGAUCGCGAUAAAAUAACGAUGAACUUCUGACUCGCUUGACUUUCUCCUCUUUCAGUCCUCUUUCCUCGUUUUCGCGUUUUAAUUCGCGGACACGUGUGACGUACGAACGCGGCGUAUAGUAUCCCGUAAGCGCAUUCAAAAGCGAAAGUAACGAUCCGCUCUCGGAUCUACAGCAGGCAACGAUAGUACCGUUUUAUGCAUCUUGCGAUUUACACGAGAUUGGCACCUGUCAUCUUGAAAGAAACGUGGUAACGAAACGGGCCGAACGAUCUUCUCGGAGUAACCAGCAACGAGAGUAUGCUACACGCGGGGAGAGAACUACCCCAAAUGAACGUACAAGUCGUGCUCUAAAUGUAACAGCUAACUUUCGUAGCGCGGUUAUCGCCGCGCGAGAAACGCUACGUUAUACGCUAACUUGCUUUUUUAAAUAUCCCGUCUAACAGGGGACGCGCUACACAAGACGCUAACUUAGAUAGGAAAAGAUGAUGCGUGACAAGCGCGCAUUAUGACGCACCACUGCGUAAAUGUGUGACGAUGAAUAACGCGUGCGUAAUUCCUAAUGCGAUGCGCAGUUUUUAGCUUUGCGAUCCUUAGAUAGUUAACAGUAAUUAUACAUCUUUGUUUUAAAUCUUUAAAUGCCUCGCUCUCUUGUGCCGCGAUGUAUUACAAAUACGUUCGACGAAUGAAGACAUUCGCUGACAGAGGGAUUCACGCGUGGAAAGCCGCGACGAGCGUUUUAAACUAAUUUUCAUGCUUCGCGAGUCGCAGGGAAUAUUUAAUCACUGUGGAAGGCGCUCCGAUUUCAAAAGUAUCGACCGAGUACAUAUACUGAGUAUAUACUUCGAGUAUUCUUUUGUUCAAUUAAACAAAAACCGUGCGCGAUGUGCGUACAAAUGGAUUCCCGAUAAAUCGUUAUAAUAUUAUAAUAAUUAUGAUAAAUAAUGUUAUAUAAUAAUUGUAAUUAUAACGGUCGUACACUGUGAAAUCAAGCGACCUAAUAAAGUACACGAUACAUUUUCGCAAAAGAUGCAAAUGCGCACGUGAUAAAAUAAUCGAAUUCAACGUGAAUCGUAAUUGCUUCUCCGGGCUGGAAAGCUGCUAAAAUUGGCUGAUCCGAUAACGCGCGUAUGAUGAAACUCUAAAUUACUUGAAACUUUUAAAACGCGUAAAAAUGAUGAUUUUUCUCAACCAUCGCUUAUCGCGAAAUAAGUACUUUCAGUUUGAAGAAACGUCUCAACUUCAAGAAGUAAGCCGUUAGAUACAUUGACCUUAUCGUUAGCUGGGAAACAAAACUGCGUGUUCGGGAAGUCCAGAGAGACAUGAAAGUUAAGCACUUAUUUAUACACGGAUUCUCGGAUGAGUAUCUCCAACUUUCAUGAUUCAUCGUACGUGAAUCGUAUUCGCGUAUGCCUCAUCCGAUUCACCAUCAGGCAAAGGCGCUAUUCAUUCAAGACUGGUUGCACCAAUGUCGAUCACCCGCUUAGUUCUCUAUCUCUGGCAACGUUAUAGCUGGGAUCCCUGUGUCUAAAGGAGCGAUAUCUACUCUCCUUAGACUCGUCACUAGAGAAUGGUGCAACUAAAGCCGCAACGCGCGUUAAUGCAACGGACCAUCGCCUCGAUGAUCUGAAAUUUAUUUAUCUAGCUAUCUAUAUAUACAUAUACAUAGCUAGAUACGUAAAUUUAAAUAUUCAUUUAGGGACGACUUGGCCAUCAUCGAUCCAUCGUAGCCGCUAAUGCU
rnacentral:lncRNA from 1 species